rnacentral:rRNA from 1 species
CAGCAGCCGCGGUAAUACAGAGGGUGCGAGCGUUAAUCGGAUUUACUGGGCGUAAAGCGUGCGUAGGCGGCUAAUUGAGUCGGAUGUGAAAUCCCCGAGCUUAACUUGGGAAUUGCAUUCGAUACUGGUUAGCUAGAGUGUGGGAGAGGAUGGUAGAAUUCCAGGUGUAGCGGUGAAAUGCGUAGAGAUCUGGAGGAAUACCUAUGGCGAAGGCAGCCAUCUGGCCUAACACUGACGCUGAUGUACGAAAGCAUGGGGAGCAAACAGGAUUAGAUACCCCAGUAGUCCCUGUCUCUUAUAC